UGCAGUCGCACGAGAAAGUGGAGCAAUCCAUGAGUAAAGUGGCGUACGGGUGAGUAACACGUGGAUGAUCUACCUCUUAGUGGGGAAUAACCCUGGGAAACCGGGGCUAAUACCGCAUAAGCCUGAGAAGGGAAAGCAGCAAUGCGCUGAGAGAGGAGUCCGCGGCCGAUUAGCUAGUUGGCGGGGUAAGAGCCCACCAAGGCAGAGAUCGGUAGCCGGCCUGAGAGGGCACACGGCCACACUGGCACUGAAACACGGGCCAGACUCCUACGGGAGGCAGCAGUGGGGAAUCUUGCACAAUGGGGGAAACCCUGAUGCAGCGACGCCGCGUGAGCGAUGAAGCCCUUCGGGGUGUAAAGCUCUUUCGGCAGGGAAGAUGAUGACGGUACCUGCAGAAGCAGCUGCGGCUAACUACGUGCCAGCAGCCGCGGUAAUACGUAGGCAGCAAGCGUUGUUCGGAGUUACUGGGCGUAAAGGGUGUGUAGGCGGUUGUUUAAGUUUGGUGUGAAAUCUCCCGGCUCAACUGGGAGGGUGCGCCGAAUACUGAAUGACUAGAGUGCGGGAGAGGAAAGUGGAAUUCCUGGUGUAGCGGUGAAAUGCGUAGAUAUCAGGAGGAACACCGGUGGUGUAGACGGCUUUCUGGACCGUAACUGACGCUGAGACACGAAAGCGUGGGUAGCAAACAGGAUUAGAUACCCUGGUAGUCCACGCCCUAAACGAUGCAUAUUUGGUGUGGGCAGUUCAUUCUGUCCGUGCCGGAGCUAACGCGUUAAAUAUGCCGCCUGGGGAGUACAGUCGCAAGGCUGAAACUCAAAGGAAUUGACGGGGGCCCGCACAAGCGG
rnacentral:rRNA from 1 species